UACCAGCUCUCCGAGUGGUGUGGAUGUUUAUUGGGCCUAAAGCAUCCGUAGCUGGCUGAGUUAGUCCCCUGUUAAAUCCACCGAAUUAAUCGUUGGUGUGCGGGGGAUACUGCUUGGCUAGGGGACGGGAGAGGCAGACGGUAUUUUCGGGGUAGGGGUGAAAUCCUAUAAUCCCGAGAAGACCACCAGUGGCGAAGGCUGUCUGCUAGAACGCGCCCGACGGUGAGGGAUGAAAGCUGGGGGAGCGAACCGG
rnacentral:rRNA from 1 species